AACCCUAUCCACAGCGAUCCACAGCUUUGUGACUUAAGUUGGGGCUGCCCCCCCCCCACCCCUCUGAUUAGCGUACUACCAGCCGUUCCUAAACAUCAUCAUCAUCCCAAGGGUGCCACAUGCCCCCCCGAUCAGCAACCAUCUCUCAACACUAUGACAGAUGCCACGUACUUGGCCUGCAAGCCGGCAUCCCGCACAAAGCUAAUUAAAGGCGACGUAAGUUCCACUCAGGAACCUCCAACGACAGAUUGUAGCCACAGCAGAAAGGACAACAAAACUGACAGCGCAUUGUUCCGACCGCCUACAGCAUCCCGGUUCCCAUUGUGUUGUAUUGCUGGGGCUCAGCUAACAUCUUGGCUCGAUUUAACUGCGUUUUCCACCAGUACGACACGUUUGUUCUAUGAAGGGUUCUGGGAGUCUGGAGUGUAUUCCCAAUGCUCCGGAAGCAAAGGCAGGAAAUAACCCAGGACGGGGCACCAACCCAUCACAGCAAAAUCAAGAAGUGGAAUCAGGGAAUCAGAUGCUCAGGUGUGCCUGCCAUCCGUCCCAGCCCUGACGUGUCGGAGGACCUCAUGAACGUGACGUCUUGCCCGCCACAAUGCCUUCGCCCCACUAGCAUCGCACAGCUGUCCAGCUCAGCGUAAUAGACCCCUCGCUCAAGCCUGGCUCUAGGCAAUGCCAGAAAAAAAAAUAAAGCGAAAGGUCAGGGCAAAUCCACCAGGCAGUAAAACACUCCCCCCCCCAGUCUCCUGAGCCAAGCUGGAACCAACAGCGAGGCAAAGUGAUCCCUCCCGACAUGAACGAACCUCUAAGCAGUGUCAAGGGAACUGAGCCGUCUACGCACCAGAUCCUCUGUUGCGUGCGCGAGGCUGCUCAAGGAUUUGUUUCUUCUUUAAAUGCCGUCUAAAUUCAUUUAGAAGGGAUAUGCGCACCAACACAAAAUUGAAUAUGGCUUCUGAGAAACUAAGCAUAAAAAGAAUUAAACAUUAAACAUUCAAAUAAAACAAAUGUGGUCUAUGUCUACAUUUGUGUAACACUGGGAGCGGCUCCUGCUGCCGUAACUCACACAUAAUACUCACACAGAUGGCCUUUGUGUUUGAUGUAAUUUCAUUUAAUCUACAAAUGUUCAUCCUAUUUUUUGUACUGUUACUCAGAAACAUUCCUGCAAGAAUAAAUGUCACAAGUCGGCAGACAAUGACCUCUGAACCUGACAUUUCUGUGUGCACAUUAUGUUUAAGUUUUCUUUUUUUUGAAGGUUUUUUGAAAACAAUUUUUUUUGACAGUUGAAUCAAUUCAUUUCUAUAUGAAAUUUAAUAUUCCAUCCAUCCAUUCAUCCAUCCAUCCUCCAAUCACCUAUCCAGGACUGGGUUACAUAGACUUCUUGGAACUAUUCCCAGGCAGUCUAGGGCACAAGGCAGGGUACACCCUGGGUGGCAUGCCAGUCCAUCACUGGGUGCAAACACAUACUAUGGGCUAUGUAGAAACAGCAGUUCACCCAACUGAAUGCCUGUGCAUUUCCAGAGGACAAUUGGACGACAAGGGAGGUUGUUAGCAUCACACAUGCCCAACUCCGUAGGUGGAAGGACCAGCAGUACCCAGCAGUAAAUAUUACAUCUGGAAAUGACGCAUGUUUUGAUGCAUCAAGUUUGUUUCUUUUUUUUGAAAGAAAUAAAUUGCAGUUUGUUGUUAACGG